rfam:Salmo salar isolate Sally breed double haploid chromosome ssa12, whole genome shotgun sequence.
GUCCCUGUAGCUCAGUUGGUAGAGCAUGGUGUUUGCAACGCCAGGGUUGUGGGUUCAAUUCCCACGGGGGGCC